GGACUACACGGGUAUCUAAUCCUGUUUGCUCCCCAUGCUUUCGCGCCUCAGCGUCAGUAUCAGCCCAGUAAACCGUCUUCACCACCGGUGUUCUUCCACAUAUCUACGCAUUUCACCGCUACACGUGGAAUUCCGUUUACCCUAACUGAACUCUAGUCAUGAAGUUUCAAAUGCAGCUCCGGGGUUGAGCCCCGGAAUUUCACAUCUGACUUUCACGACCGCCUACGCGCCCUUUACGCCCAGUAAUUCCGAUCAAUGCUUGCACCCUCCGUAUUACCGCGGCUGCUGGCAC
rnacentral:rRNA from 1 species